UACGUAGGGGCGAGCGUUGUCCGGAUUUAUUGGGCGUAAAAGGCUUGUAGGUGGCCACGCGAAGUCGGAUGUGAAAUCUCCCGGCUCAACUGGGAGGGGUCAUUCGAUACUGGCGGGCUCGAGGCCGGUAGGGGGAAGCGGAAUUCCCGGUGUAGUGGUGGAAUGCGUAGAUAUCGGGAGGAACACCAGGUGGCGAAGGCGGCUCCUGGACCGGUU
rnacentral:rRNA from 1 species